GCAGCCGUGGCCUACUGGUUAGGGCUUCGGGCUUGGAACCGAAGGGUUGCCGGUUCGAGCCCCGACCAGUAGGA
rnacentral:tRNA from 1 species